UACGAAGGGGGCUAGCGUUGCUCGGAUUGACUGGGCGUAAAGGGCGCGUAGGCGGUUCGUACAGUCAGACGUGAAAUUCCUGGGCUCAACCUGGGGGCUGCGUUUGAUACGUGCGGACUUGAGUGCGGAAGAGGGUCGUGGAAUUCCCAGUGUAGAGGUGAAAUGCGUAGAUAUCUGGAGGAAUACCGGUGGCGAAGGCGGCAUCCUGGACCGACAUUGACGCUGAUGAGCGAAAGCUAGGGGAGCAAACGGG
rnacentral:rRNA from 1 species